rnacentral:ncRNA from 1 species
ACAGUACAAACUGAACAGGCACCGGUAUGUAUAUUCCGGGAUGGCCGGGUCACGGAUGAGAUGUGACAGCAGAUGAAUACAGACAUCUGUGGGACAGU